rnacentral:misc_RNA from 1 species
GAGAGAGAGAGAGAGAGAGAGGGGCUCACACAGACAGAAACUAUAAUUGUUAAAUGCCCAAAACUACAAUAAAUGCCAAUGACAUUUGAGCCCCAAACCUCCCAUUUAAGAUCAAACAAAAUACAAGAUCAUCACGGCCAGAAACUUCAUUUUAUAAGACUAACAUAAAACCAUCACAAUACUAUAAACAGCUUUCAUGCUUAUCAGCAAGCAUGCAUUCAAUUUACC